CCUACGGGUGGCAGCAGUGAGGAAUAUUGGUCAAUGGACGAGAGUCUGAACCAGCCAAGUAGCGUGAAGGAUGACUGCCCUAUGGGUUGUAAACUUCUUUUAUAUGGGAAUAAAUUGUUCCACGUGUGGGAUUUUGUAUGUACCAUAUGAAUAAGGAUCGGCUAACUCCGUGCCAGCAGCCGCGGUAAUACGGAGGAUCCGAGCGUUAUCCGGAUUUAUUGGGGUUAAAGGGAGCGUAGGUGGAUUGUUAAGUCAGUUGUGAAAGUUUGCGGCUCAACCGUAAAAUUGCAGUUGAAACUGGCAGUCUUGAGUGAAGUAGAGGUGGGCGGAAUUCGUGGUGUAGCGGUGAAAUGCUUAGAUAUCACGAAGAACUCCGAUGGCGAAGGCAGUUCACUGGACUGCAACUGACACUGAGGCUCGAAAGUGUGGGUAUCAAACAGGAUUAGAUACCCGGGUAGUC
rnacentral:rRNA from 1 species